CAUCGACAGUUCGUCGGUCGCCGGUUUUCUGACCCGUCCCCCCCCGUUGGAUGCCGGAUGUUAGCGGCAGCCUCAUUUCCCCCCCUCUCCGGGCUGCCGCUUUGAGUGUAGUGAUAUGGCCGUUACGGUAACCCCCCCCUCACCGUAACGGCCAAUU
rnacentral:sRNA from 1 species